rnacentral:lncRNA from 1 species
UUUAGUCUUGAUGGAAAAAUAGUCCAGUAAGAUGGAUUGUAAGAGGGAAAAGAUAGAAGAUAAACAGGAAUAGAGCUUACUUUUACUCAAAUUCUGAUGCAGUAUAGACAUAUCAAAUGUGACUGCACAAAUGAAAAAUCUCCAGUUACAAAGUAUUUUUCACAAAGACAAAAAUCAAGCCAACUCGCACCUCUUUAUGGCAUAUCCAUACAUUUAUGUCAGUGAUCCCAGAUUCAUUCAGGGUAGCGAAUAACAUGCUUUAAUUGCACACGAAAGUACUCGAACAACCUUUUGUUUCUUUAUUUACCUCUGUUAUAAAAUGUCUUGGCAGACUCAGCCAUUAACAUUUUCUGCUUUCUCAAGGAAAAGAUAAUUUACCCGCUUAAAGAUAUUAGGCUCCUGUGUAUUGUUUUUCUCCAUUUGGUACCCCUGAUUCCCCUUCUGAACACUUGAGUGCCUGCAAUCAGGGCACAAUGACACUCACUAAUAACAACUGAACCACUGCACCCGCCAUAAUGCUGUGCGGCGCCCAGAUUCACAAGCGCUGAGCCCCAGCUAUGUGGAACAACAUCCCAGAGACGAGGCCGGCUCCUCUCCACAGCUACAUCUGCUUCUCUUCUCCCCCUGGAGCAUCUGCUAUGAAGUGUAACUCCUGCUGAGCAUAUGUGGACCCAGACUUGAGCAUUUUUCCUCCUGAUAUUCUCAGAUCCGAAAAUUCUACUUGAACUCAAAUCCUCAGAUUCCAACAGCCAUUGGUGCGGUACUGGUGUUCAGAAGAAGUAGUGUUCGUGGUUUCAAUCAGGGUAUUUUUCCACCGACAGAAAUAGUUAUAAGAGGUUAGUGUGACUUUUCUGGAGGAAAAAUAUAUUUUGAUUUUGCUAAUAGGUGCUAGAGAAAUGGUGUCUUUAAAAAAAUAAAGACCUUAUGAAUGCAAAGAUUGUCCUUAUUGGAGGAGUUUUGACACUUCAUCAGUUGUUUUAUUUUACAGUGCCUUGCCUUCGUCCUCAAGGUAAAGUAUGUCAUGUUUUAUUUUUACUGUAUAUGAAUCAAAAAAUAUUUGGCCAUCGUGAGUCAAGAGAUGGCAUGAUCCCCCUGAAAUAAUGAUGACCCAGUCAGUCACAAAUUGGAAUUUUUUAACUCAAUUAAAUCACAAAGAUAGAAUGGCGUUUCCUCUUAGAAAUAACACAAUGAUCAGAUUUCCACUGGCUGUUUUGAUUCUUUGGGGGCAGAUCAUAUUCAGCAUUCAUGGGACUGCACUGGGGCUGGGCUCCCUCUCCUGUAUAAUCUCUGAGUCCUUUUAAAAUUGUAACAGUUUGAGGAGGGCACCUUUUGGGAUGAGCACUGGGUGUUGUAUGGAAACCAAUUUGACAAUAAACUUCAUAUAUUGGGAAAAAAAUAAAAAAUAAAAUUGUAACAGUAUAACAUAGGAGAUGGGGGUGGGGUGGGUUGGAGGGAUACAUCUUGUUUUUAAAAAAGAAAUCCGCCUUUGUUCUCUCCAGUCAAUACUUCUAACAGCAUUUACGUCUGCUAAUGAUGUCCCAUUUUUCUCAAGCAUUAUCCAACCAACUUGAUCGUCUAGUCUAUAAACCCUCUGAAAACGGGGAUCGUCAUGUGUACUGCCCAGCAGCGGCUGAUGCCACAGCGAAGCUUGCAGUGAAUAUCUGUUGAAUAAAUGAAUGAUCAAAAGCAUGAAUUUUAGGAUUUUCCACAGGCUUAGACUACACAUUUACCUUAGGAAUGCCUAUUAUUUUAAUGCCAACAUGUAGUUGAUGUAUAACGUAAGUCAUUUUUAAAAGUGUGAGUUUCCACUUGUUCUCUCACUAUCGCCAGGACCCUGUAAAGACGGACAGAUGUGUACACUGAGGUAAGAGCAAUCACUGAUUGACCUCUGGUCUCCUGCUCACCGCCUCGUUCACUAACCAGACAGGUUGGCUACGAACGGGGCUCUCUUUUGCACCACGCCAGGCAGACUAGUGAUGAGUUGCUGUUGGCAGGGUUUUGUUCUGCGAAAGGUAUCAGUCCAGGGAUGAAACAGAAGUAAAAUGGUGCAGAGUCUUCCUGUGCUUUCUCUUUUAGCCCUUUCAACUUCCUUUUACUCCAGGCUGCUUGGAAUACCCAUCACAAUGAGCAGACCUACUAGAAACUACCCCUGCAGCCAGAAAAACAAGGUGCCCAAGUCCCUGUCCUCUGGAUUGCAUGCCCAAUAUUGCUGAGGUUUUUCUUAGGCAUUGCCAACCUGCUUUAUUUGUUUGUUUGCCUCCCUCCCUUUUAAUAGCUGAAAUUAGAUAGAAAGCUCGGUGUUUAUAUGAACUUCAUCAUUACCUCUCAGAGGAUUUGGAGGAUCAGCUAACUAACAUAUAAAGGGACCAGGAAUGUCUUUGGGGACGAGACAUAAUAUUAAUUACUGGCAUGUACUUCCUGUUCCCUUUGUAAUACCAUAUCUGCCACCUGAUAAGCAGCUCCACAAGAGUCUAGAGGAGCUCUCAUCGCUCUGCAAGCAGGAAUUUGGCUGAAAUUACCAUCUAUAGACAGAAAAGCCUUUUAGCAGCAGAAGGGCUCUUUGUAUGUGCAGAGUCUCCUGUGUGUGGCUGGUUGGAGUGGCCAGCCAGCUGUACAUUACCUGUGGGCACCAUCCAGGUAAGGCCAAAGACCAGUGAGGAGACCUGAGUUCCCCCACCCCCUCCACAGAUGGGAUCUGAGACACGGGCAGGGGGCGGGUAUUAAGGCUGUGGGGUAAGGCAGCAUCAAUGAAGAUAACGGUCUCUCACAGAUAACGCAGCCAGGCAGCUCAAGCCAACAACGCAUUUUAUAUCUUUCAUUUUUACAAGGCACUGGUGAGAUCACACACAGACACACGCGCGCGUGCACACACACACACACACACAUACACACACACCAUGCUGGCAAAACAGAAGAGACUAUGCAAAGCAACAGAGCAGCAACUUGUUUUUUUUCCCCCUCUGAAAUGGGAAAGCAAAGGUUUAAAUCACUGCAAAGGUUGCUACUUCCGCUUUUCUGUUUGUUUUCUGUUCAGAUUUGGCCAAAAUACCCAUGGCAGCAAGGGAAGUGAGAUGGAGAGUGUAAGUCAGGCUCUCUCGUUAGCUGCUUCUAAAUCCUCUCAGCCCUCCAGGAACCUUGAUCUGUGUAUUCUGAAAAUGGCAAGAGAUACGUAUUGUAUAUUCAAAUAAUAUAGCAGUAAAACCAAGAUUCAAGGGUUGUUAAUCUCAAACAUAUUAUGGGAUUGCAGAGCAACUAAGGUACGGAGUGUCUCCAUUUUAAUUACCGGGAUUGGCAGAGGAAUCCAAUUAUGUUGCUGUGUCCCCAACAUAACCCUUUCUGUCUUUGUUUGCUGCUCAGCUAUUCUGAGCAUGUUUUGAUCACCUUUAUUUGUUUGUUGUGUUUUGUUUUCUAGUACGCAAGCCUCCUGCUCAAAUUCGAAGGAUAUUUUUGGAGGUUUUAUUCUCAUUGAAAGAGAUGCUCAUCUUCCUCUUGCAAGCAUGAAAUGUUUCAUGUUAAGAAUAUAUUUUUUCUUUCUUUUUAUCAUUCCCUAGUGGAAUUGAGGCAAAUGAGGAUGACUGGCUUCCCAUAUGUGCCAGACCAUUGUUUGAAUCUGAUGGUUACAGGCACAAAUUAGUCUAACUCUGAGCUCCUGGCAUUGCUGGAAAUUUCAGGCUAGGAGUAAAUUUUUAUUCCAUAUGAAUUCUUAGUGCAUUGCAAAGAAAGGAUCCUUACACUUUCUGCUUCUGAACAUAUUCUCACAUCCUAGUACCUGUAAGAUCCCAGGACUGAGUAGAAAUACAACAAAAUUUUUAAUUCAGAUGAUCACUCUCAUUGAUAGUUGAGUCAGAAAAUUAUCAGCAUGGAUAACGGACAGCACUUUUAUAACAAACAUUAAAUUAGUCGCCCAGUUCUUUCCAUCCACCCUCUGUUAUCCCUGGAAUCUACUCUUUCAUUUCUGUUCCUGUUGCUACUCCCUACUUUAGCCCUCAUUGUGCUUCCCCGAAUAUUUUAAUAAUUUUCUAACUAAUCUCUCUACUUCCAAUCUGUCCUUGUCCUCUCCCUCACUACCAUUUAUUCCUCCAAAACACAGGCAUGACCAUCUCAUUUUCCUGCUAGAAAAUUUUACAAGGUCCCCUGCUGUCCAUAAAAUAUCACUCACUCCCUGCCUCUGACAUUAAAACUCUUCUCCAGCAUGACACCGAUAUAACCUUUCUGUCUGUACUGUAUUUCCUCAUACUCAACACUUCCAUCAAAUUGCAUUAUUGACUCCAACUUAAUAGGCAACAUAUUUGCCUAACACUGACUUUUGUUUUUCUCGUGCUUGGUUAUUAGCCGAGAAUUAGGCUUUUUUAAAAAAUAAUUAGCACAUUUUAUUUUUUUGUAAUUAUUUUUUAAUGUUUAUUUUGGGAGAGAGAGAGAGAGAGAGAGUGUCAAGGGCAGAGAGCGAGGGAUACAGAAUCCGAAGCAGGCUCCAGGCUCCGAGCUGUCAGCACAGAGCCCGAUGUGGGGCUUGAACCCACAAACUGUGAAAUCACGACCUGGGUUGAAGUCAGACGCUUAACCGACUGAGACACCCAGGCACCCCAGUUGAGAAUUAGUUUUUACUUCUGUUGUCUUAUAUUUAAAUCUCAUUCUACAAGAUUAAGCAUAAUUAUUAUUGUUGUCCUACUCAAAUUCAAAGAAGUCUUUACCAUAGUUCUUUUUUGUAACAUAUUUUGUACUUGUUUUAUCUUCAUUAUGUUUAUAUUGAUCUCCUGUAACACAUUUUGGACUCCUGGAUCAUAAAGGUUAUGUUUUACACAUUUUUGUGUAUCCCCCGUUGCCUUGCUACUUCGGCAUUCAUGUAGGUGCUGUUUCAUUCAUUCAACGAAUAUUCAUUGAGGUCCUAUUUGGUGUCAGGUGCUGUUCUGAAUGCUAGGGAUGUAGCAAUGAACAUAAUACACAAUACUUACUGUGCUCACGGAAUAUAUAUUUCACUGAAGGAAAACAGAUAAUAAAUAAAAGAAGUUGGUAAAAAUGUAGAGCUGGGGAAAAAACAAAACUGUGAAAAAGGUGGGGGAAUGUCAUGUAAAUAGGGUAACAUAGGGGAAGGAGAAAGUAGAGAAAGUUAAGAAAGCUGAAGAAAGUAGGAGAAAAGGUCAUGGGACAACUGGGAAGAAGAGCAUUGCAGGCUGAUGGGAUGGCAAGUGCAAAGGCCCUGUGGAGUUGUUGCUGAAGGUGAAAGAGAAAGGGAGAAAGUAGUAGCAGAUGAGGUGAAAUUAUAGGGUGGAUGGAAUGGACAGUAGGGGGCAGUCAUACAGUACCCUGAAGUUAAUUGUAAGGACUGACUUUAAUUUUGUAAGGACUUUAACUUUCCUUUUCAGAAAGGAAAAUUGUGUGAAAUAUAAUUUAAAGCAUCACAUCAGUUUCUGAAUUUAUAAUGGAUUGAAGGGAGCCAAGGGUGAAAAUAUAGGGAACAGUUACAAUAUUAUGGACACUUGAGGUGCCUUCUGGAAACAACUGUAUAGGAUCUCUAUUAACCCCUCUGUCUAACCAAUAACACAAUGCCAAAAACAUAAGCUACAUAUACACACUAUGGUCUUGGAAAAGAUUGAGAGGUUCUGCCCCUCAUCUUUGUCUAUUAUAAUGGUGCUUUGAAUGACAAAGUAACUAAACAAUAUGUAAUGUGAUCUAAUCCAAAUGAAAUAAAGAAGGAGCAGGGGAGAGGGGAAAAACAAAAAGAUCCUCUCCAACUCUUUUUGCACUGACCCCCCUACUGCCCCUUGCCUGACUAGACAUAGUCGAUAAUAACAAAAUAUGUCGUGGCAAGGUGUCACAGCUUCUUUGAUGAAUUGUUUUCAUCUGUCUCCCCACUCCCCACCCCAUGCAUAUGCUUUGUAAAAGAAAAAAAGUAAAUUAUUUUAAUUCUAUUCUUUUUUUUUAAUUUAUUUAUUUUGAGAGAGAAAGAAAGCAUGACUGGGGGAGGGGAAGAGAGAAUGUGACUGGGAAAGAGAAUCUCAAGCAGGCUCUGUUCUGUCAGCACAGAACCUGCUGGGCUGGAUAUCACAAACUGUGUGAUCAUGACCUGAGCCAAAAUCAAGAGUUGGCUGCUUACCUGACUGAGCCACCCAGGCGCCCCUAUUCUUUGUUUUUGUUUUUGUUUUUGUUUUUUUCGUCUAAGACAGGGAAUCCCUUAUUCAAACCCUUAAGAGUAAUGGAUAGCCUGAGUCUGUAACAAAGUGUUGUUUUAAAGCAUAGGUCAGUAAUUGUAUAUGAGAGUAUACACAGCUGCAUACAAAGUAACUGAUCAGAGUACAACUUUUCAAUGUUUAAAACAGAAUAAACUGUAAAAGCAGCACCUACAUGACAUUUUUAACUUUAGUAUUCCUCUCCUUCUUCUUCACCUUCUCCUUCAACAGAAACCACACCAACCUCCUCAUAAUCCUUCUCAAGGGCAGCCAUGUCCUCACAGGCCUCAGAAAACUCUCUUUCCUCCAUGUCCUCACCCACAUACCAGUGAACAAAGGCGUAUUUGGCAUGUAUCUGGUUAAACUUAUGGUCCGGGUGAGCCCGGGCCUCAGCAGUGGCUGUGGUGUUGCCCCGCAUGCGCAAAGCUCGUUGUACUUUGGCCAGGUCUCCACCAGGGACUGCAGUGGGAGGCUGGUGAUUAAUUACAACUUUGAAACCAGUGGAGUACCGGUCCACAAACUGGAUGCUGUAAUUGGUCUUUAUGGUGGCAAAGGCAGCAUUGAUAUCUUUGGGAACCAUGUUGCCAUGGUGUCACAGGCAUCAGGCCAUGUAUUUACCAUGGUGAGGGUCAUAUUUCACCAUCUGGUUGGUUGGCUCUGAGCACACAUUGGUGAUCUCUACUACAGAAAGCUGCUCAUGGUAGGCUUUCUCAGCAGAGAUGACAUGGGAAUAUGUGGCCAGAGAGUAGUAGUUGUGAGGAUGGGGCACGAGGUUGGUCUGGAAUUCUGUCAGAUCAACAUUCAGUGCUCCAUCAAAUCUGAGGGAAGCAGUGACGGAGGAUGCAAUUUGACCUACCGACCUAUUCAGGUUAGUGUAAAUUGGGCAUUCGAUAUUGAGGUUUCUAUGACAGAUAUCAUAGAUGGCCUCAUUAUCUACCAUG